UACGGAGGGGGGCUAGCGUUGUUCGGAAUUACUGGGCGUAAAGCGCACGUAGGCGGCUUUGUAAGUCGGAUGUGAAAGCCCUGGGCUCAACCCAGGAAGUGCACUCGAUACUGCGUAGCUUGAGUACCGGAGAGGUUGGUGGAAUUCUCGGUGUAGAGGUGAAAUUCGUAGAUAUCGGGAGGAACACCGGUGGCGAAGGCGGCGAUCUGGGUCGAUACUGACGCUGAGGUGCGAAAGCGUGGGGAGCAAACAGG
rnacentral:rRNA from 1 species